CGGGGCUUCGCGCUCGACUCUCCCACCCUUUGUGAACGUACCUCUGUUGCUUUGGCGGCUCCGGCCGCCAAAGGACCUCCAAACUCCAGUCAGUAAACGCAGACGUCUGAUAAACAAGUUAAUAAACUAAAACUUUCAACAACGGAUCUCUUGGUUCUGGCAUCGAUGAAGAACGCAGCGAAAUGCGAUAAGUAAUGUGAAUUGCAGAAUUCAGUGAAUCAUCGAAUCUUUGAACGCACAUUGCGCCCCUUGGUAUUCCGGGGGGCAUGCCUGUUCGAGCGUCAUUACAACCCUCAAGCUCUGCUUGGAAUUGGGCACCGUCCUCACUGCGGACGCGCCUCAAAGACCUCGGCGGUGGCUGUUCAGCCCUCAAGCGUAGUAGAAUACACCUCGCUUUGGAGUGGUUGGCGUCGCCCGCCGGACGAACCUUCUGAACUUUUCUCAAGGUUGACCUCGGAUCAGGUAGGGAUACCCGCUGAACUUAAGCAUAUCAAUAAGCGGAGGAAC
rnacentral:rRNA from 1 species